GAGGAAGCCCGGUGAGAUUCCGGCGCGGUCCCGCCACUGUGAGCCCGGCAGCAGCGCCGCACACGCGCACACCGCCGGGUGAGCCAGGAACUC
rnacentral:ncRNA from 2 species